rnacentral:sRNA from 1 species
GUACGAUCGUCUCGCUCGCACACCUGCUCCAGCCGCACCGUUGCACUCGCCCUGGCUCCGGCUCUCUCUCGCUCGCUCACUCUGCC